rnacentral:rRNA from 1 species
GUGAGGAAUAUUGCGCAAUGGAGGCAACUCUGACGCAGCCAUGCCGCGUGCAGGAAGAAGGCGCUACACGUUGUAAACUGCUUUUAACCGGGAAGAAACCCCAGGACGUGUCCUGGGUUGACGGUACCGGAGGAAUAAGCACCGGCUAACUUCGUGCCAGCAGCCGCGGUAAUACGAAGGGUGCAAGCGUUAUCCGGAUUCAUUGGGUUUAAAGGGUGCGUAGGCGGAGCGUUAAGUCAGUGGUGAAAUCCUGCAGCUUAACUGUAGACUUGCCAUUGAUACUGGCGCUCUUGAGUGCGCUUGAAGUGGGCGGAAUGUGCCGUGUAGCGGUGAAAUGCUUAGAUAUGGCACAGAACACCAAUUGCGAAGGCAGCUCACUAAGGCGAUACUGACGCUGAGGCACGAAAGCGUGGGGAUCGAACAGGAUUAGAAACCCUAGUAGUCC